rnacentral:rRNA from 1 species
GAUGAACGCCGGCGGCGUGCCUAAUACAUGCAAGUCGAGCGAACAGACGAGGAGCUUGCUCCUUUGACGUUAGCGGCGGACGGGUGAGUAACACGUGGAUAACCUACCUAUAAGACUGGGAUAACUUCGGGAAACCGGAGCUAAUACCGGAUAACAUGUUGAACCGCAUGGUUCAACAGUGAAAGACGGUCUUGCUGUCACUUAUAGAUGGAUCCGCGCCGCAUUAGCUAGUUGGUAAGGUAACGGCUUACCAAGGCAACGAUGCGUAGCCGACCUGAGAGGGUGGUCGACCACACUGGAACUGAGACACGGUCCAGACUCCUACGGGAGGCAGCAGUAGGGAAUCUUCCGCAAUGGGCGAAAGCCUGACGGAGCAACGCCGCGUGAGUGAAGAAGGUCUUCGGAUCGUAAAACUCUGUUAUUAGGGAAGAACAAAUGUGUAAGUAACUAUGCACGUCUUGACGGUGCCUAAUCAGAAAGCCACGGCUAACUACGUG